CUGUGUGGACAGGAGGCUGGUCCUGUGGGGAAGGGCAGCUGACAAGGCUGGGCUGGCCUGGUUCGGACCUGCGGACCCCAUAUGUGGGCCAGGCCAGGGGAGCUCUGUUUCCUGGCCCCGCUGCUGGGGGCCCUGAACACCUGCCUGCACACCUGCGUACAGAGGCAGCCCCGAGCCUCUGAGGACGGUGGACAAGUCUCCAGGGGGAGGUGGUGAGAUGGACAAAAACAGCAAACCCACAGUGCCCCUGGGCCACCUACAUCCUUCUUGACUGUCCCUCCAGGGAGACAUCCCUUCCAUCCUUCAAAUAGUAUUUGCUGAGCACCUAGUACGAGCUAGGCCUGUGCCAGGUGCUGGGAAGUAAUGACAGGUCCCGGCCCCCGUGAGCCUGCAUCUCAGCGUGGGGACAUAGAAUCAAGGGCAAGCAGACGCACCAGUGAGGCUGUUUCACAGCCCUGCCAGUGCCAGGAUGGCAAUGGAGCAGACCGAAGGUAUCCCCUGCAAACAGCAGCUCCCCGGCCCUGCCCCCCCAGGUUCUGUCUCCAUGACCCUGAUGCCUCCGGGGACCUCAUGUAAGUGAAAUCACGGGGGUCAGACCCAAAGUCCCUCCUUUUGCAACUGGCUUACCUCACGGAGCAGCACGUCCUCAAGGUUCACCCACGGGGAACCAUGUGUCAAUUCCCUUCUGGGUCGGUGUCCUCCCGGUUUUCGGCUGAGGGAUCACGGGAUCGCUGCCCCACCAGGUUCGGGUUCUUUUUUUUUUUUUAAGAUUUAUUUAUUUAUUUAUGCGGAGCACCCCGCUCAUCCUGCAGCCCCGCACCGCACAGCUCCUCGCCGGGUCGAGAGCCGGGUGAAGACUAAGAGAGCUCCCGGGAGCUCAUCCAUGGGCCUCCUUCCCCACUUGCCCUUCCCCUCCCUGUCCUUUUGGCACCCUCUUGCCUCUUGCCUCAGAGGCCCUGUGUGGCCUUCCCUGCUGGUGCUCAAGACGUCCCGGCUUUUAUUUCCAAAAGCCCAAAGGGGAGCUUGGUAAGUUUUCCAGGAGGAAGGAAGACAGAGGGGGAAGGGUUAGGCCUGCCCGGCCCCUCCAGCAGCUGAGCCCCAAAUCCACUUGGGUGGGGCCUGGGGCUGUGGUCUGACCCCAACAGGAGUGGCCGUGGGGGGCAUCUUUCUGGCCAAGAACCAUGGGUCUGGACAACUUGAACCUGUAGGGCCCGCAGGCUCCAGGGGCAGAGGAUCCGCCAGAGGCAAGCCCUGGGCGUGGGGGACAGCCCCAGAAUGACUGAGUAGAUUCUGGGAGAGCAGAGAAGUGGUAUUUCAGGCCUCUGAGCUCCUGGGCCAAGGUGCCUUCCUCCACACCCAUUGCACCCACGCGUCCAUCCGGAGGUGGGAAGCUGUGCCCUCUUCCCAGGGCGUCAGGUCUGAGCUCCCCCUGCUCAGCUGCCUGGGGACCCCGAGCCAGCUUCUGCUGCCCGUGAGGUCUCCUUAUCUUCGGGCCAAGAUGUAAGCACCCAGAGGAUGCGGCAGCAGGUGCCGGUGCUGGAGGGUGGUCUCCCCCAGGUGCUGCUGCUGGUGCUCUCUGUCCACUUCGUGUCAGCUUCUUCCUGCCCUUGAUCCCAGUCUUCUGUGCUAUUUGCUACUCCCUCUCUGUCCAUCUGUCCAUCUGUCGCUCUAGCUGGUCCUCUGGUUCUCUGCUGCUUUCCCUGGCCAUUUCCCACAUAUUCACAAUAGCAGCAGGCACACCUUGGACCAGGGCCCCAGUCCAGGCUCUCCUCACCCUGGUGGUCCCGAGGAGGGAACCUGUUCUCUCUAGUGAGGCCAGGGGGCAAGUUACAGUCUGGACCUGGCUCUGCGUUCUUUGUCCUCACACCGUGCAUUUGGGUUUUGCCUACCGUGUGUCCUGUGAAGGUUCUCUCUUGUCCUCUGAUGAGACUGGCUGCAGUGUUGUGAACUGCCCUACAGAGAGGCCUCCUGACAAGGAAUUAAAAGGUGCCUUCCUCUGGCUGACAUCCAGGGGGAAUGCGGCCCCCGGUCCAACAAGCCCCUGAGGACCUGAGCCUGCCAACACCCACUUGAGUGAGAUUGGGAGCAGGUCUCCCUCAGUGGAGCCUGGAAGCGAGCCUGCAGCCACAGCCAACAAGCUGGUUGCAGCUGUAGGGACCAGAGGACCAAGUCAAGCCUUCAGAAACUGUGAAAUCAUAAAGGUGUUGUUUUAAGCACUGAGCUUUGCAGUAAUUCGUCGUGUAGCCUCCGGUCACCGAUCCAGGUACAUGCUGUACUGCGUUAUGCAGUCAUGUCUUCUAGUAUGUGAAAUUCUACUACAGGCAAAUUAUGCUAACGUGGGAAAAAUAAAUCAGAACAACGGCUGCCUCCUGGGAGUGGAGGCAGGACUGACCUACUAGGGCCACGAGGAGUCUUUCUGGGAUGAUGGUAACAUCUUUUGUCCCGACGGGACAUUUGUUUAUGUGACAAAAUUCAGCAGAUGACUUUCAAGAUUUGUGCAUUUUGUUGUAUGCAAAUUUCACAACCAAAACAGUACAUGCUAAAGUAUUUAGGGGGGAAACUGGACUGAUGUCUUCAAUUUAUUUUGAAAUGCAUUAAAAAAAAUUAGAUGGAUUGAUGGGUAGAUAUUGAUAAAACAAGGGUUAUUCGAUGUAAAUGAUAGAAUUUUACCCUAAGAGUAUAUGAGUGUUCACUAGAAAUGCUUUCAGCUUUGCUGUGUGUUUGGAAUUUUCAGAAUAAAAUGUUGGGGAAAAGGAAUCACUUAUUUAGCGAAUACAGAGUGCUUCGUGGGAGAAAAUUAGAAUAAUAGCAUUGUGCCUGGAUAGUAAUUCUAAUCAAGGUUGGUUUUGUGCGAGGCACCCGAUGGGGCUCUUGCACGGGCAUGGUUUCAUUUUAUUCUUCAAGCCAGUGCAACAAGAAAGCAAUG